ensembl:lncRNA
GUGGACCCCCAACAAGCCCAGGGAUGGACUUCGGAGGCUCUGUGAGCCCUUUGAAAUCACACUCACUAAUUUCCCUGUUUGUGUGCCUUUUUUGUUUGUUUGUUUGUUUGUUUGUUUGUUUGUUUUGAGGGAGAGUCCUCAGUAGAUUAUCAAGGGGGUCUGUGACGUGCAGAUUAGGAACCGCAAGCAGGACCAGAAUUGGCACCCGGGGAGAAGAAGCAUUUGCCAACAUCAGAACCACCCAGAUGGUCCACCCAAUUCAUACUCUGCCACCAGAUAGAGUUCUUUUCAUUUUCGAAAUCCGGUCCCUGCCUCUUAGCAAUUUCUUCUGGAUGAAACUGAAUUAAGUCAAGGAGCCAUUGGAAGCUGUAUUGAGCAAGGCCAGUGGGGCCCAGCAUUCCUCAGGCCUGGAAGAGCUGGAAAUGCCCAGCUUGCCCCAGGAUCAAAGAGACGAGGCAACCCCUUCAUCACCAGGUUUCCACAUCAGCACUGUUGAGGGCAGGAAGAUGUCAAGGGGGAAAGCUUUCUUUGAAGUGUCAAGAUAAGAAUCAUCUCCACCUCCCUUCAGUGUGAAAGUCAUUCCUCUAGGAGCCAGGGGAGGGUGUGAGGCAUUCGGCUGUCUGUACGAAAGCUGGGAGGAACUUAUCAACUGAGGCAGACACCUUCCUGACUCCAGACUGUGUCUGGACCCGGCCUACAAUCUCCAGCGAACAUCAGUCCUCACAAACAUAUGAAACGUGGAGCCGUGUUAACCACUUUUCCAAUGCUAUCCCACCUAGAGCUGUACCUGCAUGGGCUUUACUGCUGGAUCGUUGACUACAGACAGCCUAGCACUCGGGGGGACCAGUGAGAGCUUGCACCUUGGGCCGGGUGAGCUGGGAGGCCACGUAUUCCAGAGGGCAGGCCUACGAAAUGGUGGAGCCCUGCCUGGACCUGCAUCAUCACUGAAUGAACAGGAUGACCAACACCCCGAUUUGCCUUGGGACGCUGGAGUUCCGGGUGUCAGGACUGUCAGCAAGAUCCUGACAUGGUGAUGACGAAGAAUGAAACAAUAAGAAGUUGAAUUACAUUGUACAAGACGCGAAUGUCACGGAGAAUACCUGAUUUCACAUUUUCAUCAUCACAAAAGGCUGGUUUCCCCAGCGUCUGAUCUUACGUGUGGUAUAUAUUAACAUUCUGAAUGUCUUGAAUUUAAGAGGUGAAAAAAAAUACUAAUAUUAUCUACUUUCUUUUUUUAAAAUUUUUUUUAAUGUUUAUUGAUUUUUGAGAGAGACAGAGACAGGAUGCGAGGGGGUUAGGGGCAGAGAGAGAGGGAGACGCAGAAUCCGAAGCAGGCUCCAGGCUCCGAGCUGUCAGCACAGAGCCCGACGCGGGGCUCGAACUCAUGAGCUGUGAGAUCGUGACCUGAGCCGAAGUCGGACGCUCAACCGACUGAGCCCCCCAGGCGCCCAAAUAUUAUCUACUUUCUUUAUUCAUGUUCCCUGUGAAGUUUUUUUUCCCCCAGAUUGUUUUUCUUUUUAAGAAGGAUCUUUCGGCUUGAUGACAGCAGUAACGAUGAUGGUGAGAGAGAUGAUAAUGACCAUGAGAACAUUUGAAAACACACCCGUGAACACUCACAGGUCUUUCAAGCCUGGGUUCAAACCUUACUUCUGCCGUUUACCAGCUGCCGACCUUGAGCAAGCGAGCUAAUGUGGUCUGUUUUCUUGUCAUAAAUUAAAAAUAACCCUGGGAAUGCAAGCUGGUGCAGCCACUCUGGAAAACAGCAUGGAGGUUCCUCAAAACACUAAAAAUACAACUACCCUACGACCCAGCAAGUGCACUACUAGGCGUUUAUACAAGGGAUACAGGGGUGCUGUUUC